GAUGAACGCUGGCGGCGUGCCUAAUACAUGCAAGUCGAGCGAACAGACGAGGAGCUUGCUCCUCUGACGUUAGCGGCGGACGGGUGAGUAACACGUGGAUAACCUACCUAUAAGACUGGGAUAACUUCGGGAAACCGGAGCUAAUACCGGAUAAUAUAUUGAACCGCAUGGUUCAAUAGUGAAAGACGGUUUUGCUGUCACUUAUAGGUGGAUCCGCGCCGCAUUAGCUAGUUGGUAAGGUAACGGCUUACCAAGGCGACGAUGCGUAGCCGACCUGAGAGGGUGAUCGGCCACACUGGAACUGAGACACGGUCCAGACUCCUACGGGAGGCAGCAGUAGGGAAUCUUCCGCAAUGGGCGAAAGCCUGACGGAGCAACGCCGCGUGAGUGAUGAGGGUCUUCGGAUCGUAAAACUCUGUUAUUAGGGAAGAACAAAUGUGUAAGUAACUAUGCACGUCUUGACGGUACCUAAUCAGAAAGCCACGGCUAACUACGUG
rnacentral:rRNA from 1 species